GCCCCCGUAGCUCAGUGGAUAGAGCGAUGGAUUCCUAAUCCAUGUGCCGCAGGUCCGAUUCCUGCCGGGGGCACCA
rnacentral:tRNA from 2 species